CAGUAGCCGCGGUAAAACGUAGGGUGCAAGCGUUAAUCGGAAUUACUGGGCGUAAAGCGUGCGCAGGCGGUUAUAUAAGACAGAUGUGAAAUCCCCGGGCUCAACCUGGGAACUGCAUUUGUGACUGUAUAGCUAGAGUACGACAGAGGGGGAUGGAAUUCCGCGUGUAGCAGUGAAAUGCGUAGAUAUGCGGAGGAACACCGAUGGCGAAGGCAAUCCCCUGGGCCUGUACUGACGCUCAUGCACGAAAGCGUGGGGAGCAAACAGGAUUAGAUACCCCUGUAGUCCCUGUCUCUUAUAC
rnacentral:rRNA from 1 species